rnacentral:rRNA from 1 species
CCUACGGGAGGCUGCAGUGAGGAAUAUUGGUCAAUGGGCGCGAGCCUGAACCAGCCAAGUAGCGUGAAGGAUGACUGCCCUACGGGUCGUAAACUUCUUUUAUCAAGGAAUAAAGUGAGGCACGUGUGCCUUUUUGUAUGUACUUUAUGAAUAAGGAUCGGCUAACUCCGUGCCAGCAGCCGCGGUAAUACGGAGGAUCCGAGCGUUAUCCGGAUUUAUUGGGUUUAAAGGGAGCGUAGAUGGGUUGUUAAGUCAGUUGUGAAAGUGUGCGGCUCAACCGUAAAAUUGCAAUUGAUACUGGCAGUCUUGAGUACAGUUGAGGUAGGCGGAAUGCGUGGUGUAGCGGUGAAAUGCUUAGAUAUCACGAAGAACUCCGAUUGCGAAGGCAGCUUACUAAACUGCCACUGACGUUGAGGCACGAAAGUGUGGGUAUCAAACAGGAUUAGAUACCCUUGUAGUC